rnacentral:lncRNA from 1 species
GCAUUAUAAUCUUGCAAAUCAUGGCAGGAAAGGAGAGCUACACCAAAUGUGUAGAUACUUCUUCCGAAGUAUUUAUUGAGCUUGUAAGAAAAAACUCUAUAUUAAGAAAUGUAAUACUUUCACUAAUAUUAGGUUGUACCACACUUCUAGGCAUGCAUGCCAAGGAAUUAUGUUCCAAUUCUGCAGGUAUAUCAAUUCUGGGCAAACAGGAUGCAGGGCACAAUAUCAAAGCAUACUUCGCGUGAAGUUAGAACAUGCAUCGAAAUAGCUCUAAAAUGUGUGGAGUUCAGUCGAGAAAAGAGGCCUACUAUAAAGGAGAUCAUACAGAAACUGAAUAAGAUUGAUAUUGUUGAGUGCUCAUCUAUACAUCAGCUAUAUAGAGCAAAAGAGUUUUCAUUUGAGUUCUUAGUAAAUAUUACUGAUAAAUUUUCCAAGCAAAACAUAGUUGGCCGUGGUGGAUAUGGAAUUAUUUACAAGGUAUGUUAUUACUUCAUCUUCUAACUUCCAAAUGAGCCCUGCCGUUAACUACAAAAAUAAUGUGCCAUAAAAAAAUGAGAUUUUUAAUAGGGGGUGCUGAAGGAUGGAGAAGAGGUUGCUGUUAAGAAACUUCAUCAAAUGUUGUGGAUUGAUGAUGAACAAUUUAAGAACGAGCUUAAUAAUCUAAUGAGGGUCCAACACAAAAAUAUCGUACGGUUAGUUGUCUACUGCCACCAUGCAUCACAUAUAUUUGUUGAGUACGAGGGAAAACAUGUUUCUGCUAGCGUGGUAGAAAGAGCAAUUUGUUUGGAAUAUGUGCAGGGUGGAAACCUUGACAAUCAACUUUCUGGUAUGAUUCUGCUCUACUUGCACUAAAUUAUGUUUGAAUUUCCUACAACAUAAGAGGGCGCCGGGGGAGGGGGCAUGAUCUAUUUACUCAUCCUUGUAUCCAUAGUUCCGUACACAUGAUUCAUGGUUGGGUUAGGUGGAGAGUAGCAUCCAACAAGAAAGGAGAUAGGGUUGAGAAGAUGGAACUAUUUUUUGCAGCAUCUAGGAGGGGAAACCGGGUGAUAUGCUGGACUAUGUUUUAGAUUAAACACACUUGAUAAUACUAUUAUACUUGUUAUUUACAUAGCGAUUUAACAUACUUUUUUUUACUUCUACAGCUGAACCCUGCAAACUUGAUUGGGACAAAUGUCACAAAAUAAUAAAAGGAAUAUGUGAGGGUUUACAUUACCUUCAUAAUGCUGAUACUCCCAUUUACCAUCUGGACUUGAAACCAGAAAAUAUUUUGUUAGAUAAGGAUAUGGUGGCAAAAAUUGGUGAUUUCGGUUUGUCAAGACUUUUUGAUUCACCACAAACCUAUAUGACACAAUCCCAAGAUAUUAAAGGAACACGGUAAGUUAAUGACUCAAAAUAAUCAAUUAGCAUCUUUUCUCGAACUUUCAGAAAAAUAAUUGUAUUAGACAAAAUGCAGUGGAUACAUGCCACCAGAAUACAUCAACAGACAUGCAAUCAGUCCGAAGUUUGACGUAUUUAGUCUCGGGGUCAUAAUCAUACAAAUAAUGGCAGGAAAGGAGGGUUACUUCAGUUUUCCACAUACCCCUCCGAAAGAAUUUAUUAAGAAUGUAAGAAAAAGAUUUCAUAUGAUAGAAAAUAUUUUUUCACAAAUAUUUUAUCAUGCCUUACCCCUGUUCCCCUCUUUUGGUGUUAUUAUGAUUCAAUUAUCUAGGUGCGUGAAAACUGGCGAAUGAAGGUGGAGGCAACAAUGCCGCCCCAUGCAUCUGAAGAAGUGAGGACAUGCAUCGAAAUAGCGUUGAAAUGUGUGGAAGAUGACCGAAUGCGGAGGCCUACAAUAGCCCAGAUUGUUAAUGAACUAAGUAACAUUGGUGUUGCUAAAAGUUCACCCGUUAGUCAGGUACAUAUUCUCUGCUCCCACGGUAUCAGGCCGUAUGUCUUUUGUCAUCCUACUUUAAUUCAUAUGUUCCCUGCCAUAACCUGUAACUAUCGACACGUGCGCUUGCACAGGUAGGAAUUUCAAAGUAAUAAUGACAAUAACCAAUUGAUGUAAAAAAACUAAAUUCAUUUUGUCGAUUCCUACAUUAUUUAACAGUUCCUUUCUGGAUGCAGUGGGCGAACAAGCUGAAUGUGUUGAAGACCUUGUUAUCAUCUACUCACUUCAAGUUCAAAUAUUGGUUGUUCCUCUUUGUCGCAGUGAUUUCCAUGUUUUUCGCAUGGGCGAAAUUCUGUCCAGGUACUGGCGCAUUGUAGAUGAACAUGUUUUUUUUUUGCGAUGGUGUAGAUGAACAUGAUUAAUUGCUUGAAGGCACGAGUCUGUUGGAUUCUAUUAAUGUGGCAAAAUCUUCAAAUUCGGCAGAUUCAUGGUGGCAAGGCAUUACAAGGAGGACGUAAACCACAACACCUGCUGGAUGCCUUCAUCUACACGCCAAGAAAGGCGGUAGCAGGGAGAAUAGUUUCUGUACAAGAGUUGUUAGUGUGAUUUCCAUAUUAGUUUCUUCUGUCAAUCAAGCAAAUUGCGAUCUUGGGAAUCAGAGUGCUAGGGUAUCUAUAUAUGUUUCCAAAAGCUCAAGAAAGCACUCGAUCAGUGCGGCCAUGCCAAUCAUCUUUCGCCACUAGGAGCCCUGUUUAAAGAAACUAAACCUUUGCGCAGCACGCGUUGCAUAUGGCAAUGUAAAAUUUCCUGGCCAUCUGCCUCGGUUUGUACUUUGUAUAGAGCCUGUGUGCUGACGAUUUGUCCACCGCUAAUGUUUAAUGGAACUAGAUGACCCGUUGCGCCAAUGGCGCAAAGGCCGAGUGUAAGCCAAUCGGUAUAAGAGUGUGCGUUAAUAUAUUGUUGUUCGAAAUGAAUAGCUCAUAUAUUAUAUGUAGUAAGUACAUUAGAUUGGAAAUGAUGCACUAAGUCAUUUAGGAUGGCCAAUGUCUUGCAGAAAGAUAAAUAACCUUUUUAGUUAUCUCACAAAUAUGAAAUAACGAUGCUCUUUGAAUAAAUGAAUACUGGUUUCUGUAAGAUGAUCCGUUGCGCCCAUGGCGCAAAUACCGAGUGCAAGCCAAGCAUUGAAAGAGUGUGCAUUAAAAUAUAUAAACACAAAAUCAAACAUAUGAAAAUAAGUACGGAUAGAUAGAUGGUGGUUGUUUCAAAAGCAUAUCACACAACAGUCUAAGUAGCAAAUAAAGUUAAAUGCACAAGAUGGUCUUGGGGAUUACAUAAGAUCCAAAAGGAUGAUAAACAUAGAAGUUUUGGUAGGCAUAUAUACUAAUGCUAAGUUAUAUAACAAGGGGCUCUUACAACUUGCUUAUAUUGAGUAGGCGACCAGAUACAAUCCUUGAAAGUGCAUUGACAACCCGUUGUGCCCAUGGCGCAAAAAUCAACAGUGAGCCAAAUAUUCAAACCAUGUAUAUGUGACUGAUUUAAAAUUAUAUUUUAACUACUUUUCAGUCAGCUAAAAUUUUCACUUUUGGGUCAGUCGAAUUUGUGGCCAUUGGAUUUUUCUGUAAGAUUAGUGCUGUGUUUUUUUCCUGACCUGUGUUGUCUGUUGGGUGGGCUUCUUUCUUUUUUGACUGACCUCUUAAUUGGGUCAGUCGAUUUCUUUCUGGGCCGAAGCUCAUUAACUGUGCAAUCCAGCCCUCAUCUCUCUCCCUCGAUUUUUAAUACUUUUUUGUUUUUAUUGCUUUUGCUUUUGUUUUUUUACUUUCUUUGUUAGUUGGUUUUAUUUCUAUUUUGUGGAUUUAUUUUGAUUUAUUUCUGUUUUCUGUUUCUAUGGGUUUUUCUUUUCCACAUUUUCUUUCCUUUAUUGGUUAUUUUUAUUUUUUGUGGGUUUUUGGCUAAGUGUAAUUGUAUACAAAAUAUACUAUAUAAUAUGUGCCAAAUUUUCAUGAUUAUAUGAACACUAAAAAUGUGCAACUUCUAUGCAAGUAGUUUGCAAAAUAUUUCAUUAUUUGUUUUAUUAUUUCCAGUUCAUUUCUUCUUUAAUGGGAAACCAUGACAUUAAUUCAUUGUUUCUUAGAAAACUUCACUAUUUUAACUUUCUUUAAGUUUUUAUUUCAUUUUAUUUAUUUUCAAGGGUAAUACCAAUACCUCUAUUUCGUUCCUACUUAGGAUAUUUGUGAAAUAUCACUGUUUGUGCUUAUUUUUGCAUAUUAUAAAAAAACGCAAUUUCUAUUCAAACGGUGUGCAAAUGUUAUCAUUUUUUUCUACUUUUCUUUCUUCUUAAACGGUAAUACCGAUACCAGUAAUUCAUUAUUUUGAUCUGGAGAAGUAGAGACACCAUGGAUCAAAUAACAAUGUCACUAAUUCAUUCUUUCUUUAGAUAAUUCUGUUUUUGCGAAAAAUUUCACUAUUAUGUGUUUAAUCUUGCAUAUUAUAACAAAGCACAAUUAUGUGCAAAUUGUGUGCAAAUUUUGUCAUUAUUUUGUUUUAGUUGUUUAUAUCAUUUUGUUUCUAUUUAAGGGUAUUUUUGCUUCACUUUUUUAUUUCUGUUUUCUGUUUUUAUGUUUUUUAUUUUUCCCAUACCUUUCCUUUAUUGCUUAUUAUUGUUUUUGUGGGUUUUCGGCUGAGUGUAAUUUUAUACAAACAAAUACUAUACAAUAUGUGCCAAAAUUUAGUGAUUAUAUGAUUGUUUUUGCAUAAUACGAUAAAGUGCAAUUUCGGUGCGAAGUUAUGCGUAAGUUUUUGUUGUUGUGUUUCUUCUUAAAGGAAAUACAUUGUUUCAGUUACACUAUGGAAAUUAUAGUAGAAUGCAAAAAAUGCACUAUUAUAUGCUUAUUCUUUGCAUAUUUCAAAAAGUGUAAUAUCAAUGCAAAUUGUGUGCAAGUUUUGAAAGUGUUUUCAUUUUCAUUUUCUUUCUUCUUAAAGCGUUUCAUUCUUUCUUAGAAAAUUUAAUUAUUUUGAUUUUGUUUUAGUUUUUUUUUGUUUUGAAAGUGUAAUACGAAGGCUAUGUGUUUAGUCAUUGUAGCCUGUUUUUCCGCCGGUUGUGACAUCUUUUUAUCUGUAUUGUUCUUGUUCUCCUUUUGUGAGUAGUUCUAGACCUCAAACUUUGUUUACAUACUUUUGGUUAAUAAAUUGGCUGCAUGCGUCAUUUUGAUGCUGAGGUCCGGGGCUUUCCUCCUUUUUAAAAAUAUAUGUAUUUUCCAUCAUUAUUUGGUUUAUGUGUUUUUACAUAUUGUUUUCUUUUGUGCAAUGCAAUAUCAUGCCACUAACCAUGGCCAGCCAGCUCACGCACUGACAAAGCCAGAGCUAGCAAGCUCACAUGCGACGCGGAGCUAGCUCACGCAUGGACGCAGCUGGAGCUAGCUAGCUCACGCGCUACGGCCAGCUGAAGCUAGCUACCUCGCGCGCACACGCACAGGACACACCACACCACACGUACUAUAGGGUAAAAGAAGUGACUGACCCAUUCACAAAUUCAGUCGACUGACUUAAAAUUAACCUAAUAGAUACUUAUAUUCUAUUAUUAUAUGAUACAAGCUAAAUGGAAGUUUAAGAUAAGUAGGAGUAGAUUGCAUGAAACGGUGUAGAUCAUGACAGUACAUGCAGUACAAAUUAGCAAGAAAAACAAAAUUACAACUGUGCCAUUGGGACAAAGAACCCCACACUAUGGACACCUAUACACACGCGUCACACAUGUAACACAACAGGUCACCACGUGGUCGACUGUUGGUCUUGUUCCAUCCACCACCAGUUCAUCGUCCUCAUCCCGUUCCUUUCCCCAUUCUACUCGUACCUAAGUGAGAAAGCACCUGGUGGAGGCGGACGGCGACAUUUCGGGCUCCAUCUUGGCGGCUGACGCCGCAGCUUGGCCGCAGGUGUUGCGGCUCCAUCUGCUUCUUGGUGGCCCGGCAGCUACUGCUGUAGCUUGGAGCCGCAGAACCGGCAAAUGGUGCCGCUGUUGCUCGUACCGGUGAUUUGGCUGUGCUGGCACUCCCUGAAGCCGGUAACUUUUCAUGGGAAGGGAUGCUCCAGGAAGACUAUGGUAGCCGCUAUUGCCGCUCAGGUAAGAACUAUCUCCUUGGUGUUUGAUGAAUCUGUAGAUUUUUUUUGUGAGCUCGUUGCUACUAUGCUAAUAGCCAAGUCUCGAGGGCAGUGUUGAUACUUAGCUGAGUGGUUCAACGCAGGAGCACUAAUCAUCUGAGUGAUACAUAGCGGCUGGUACUACUCCAAUCAUCCAGCUGGGUAUAUUGUAUAAGAUACUUAGUUGAGUGACCGCCUUUAGAUGUUUCAGAUGCUGAAGAGUAUUUUCUAAUCCAAUCAUCUGAGUUUACUAUGUUUUCUCUACAAGAGCAACCUGAAGCCAAAAGAACACAAAACUGUACAAACUAAAACAAAAACAUGUCCACAUGCCUAAUAACUUUGAAAGCUUGAGUCCUACUACAACAGUUCAAACAGUCAAUAGUCAGAAGAGGCUAAAUAAGAUACCGAUAUAAGGUAUUUAUACCUUUAAUCUGGGCAUGCAUAAUAGGAUUAAAGAAUUUAGAUAAGAUGCCAAGGGUUCUUCACUCUAUAUGGCAUUCACCAGAACACUAAAGCCAUGGUUGUUAUUGCAUAGCUCUAGACUAAAUAAUAAGAGCAUAACCAAAAGAUUUAUGCAUUAGUGCAUGAACAAAUAGAGAGAAAAAAUAUGCCUAUAAUAUCCCAUGCUAUAUGCACACCAAAUGAAGGCCAAACAGAAGAUCACUAAUAAGAAAAUAGAACUAUGUGAGUAUAAAUUUUCAGGAAAACAAUAGAAUGGUGAGAUUCAUUGUGUAAUAAUGAUUAUAAGCUCAGGUAUGUACAUUUGAACAAAUAGAAGAUUAAGAAAGGGGAACAUGCAACAAAAAAGCUUUCAAAAAGCAGUAGUAUUUUUACCUCUGCAACAAAGAAAGUACAAAAAUGUAUUAGUUGGUAUUUCUCCAGAUGGCGAAUUGCCUGGGAAAAAGGAUUAGUAGGUUUAAUAGGUGUUACUUUCUUGGGCAAGCACCAAAACUUUGCCAAAAAGUAAAAUAUAUUGGGCUCAUUGCACCUUUAUUUUCCCUGUACUUCUAGACUGUAUGAUGGCGGUGUAAGCUAGCCAGCAUCUUCAGAUUAGUCCAUCCAAAAAGCAUCCUAAAGGUAACAGUUGGAUUGAUUGUAUCAUCCCUGAAACGCCAUUAUCAAAAAUUCAGUUGCCGCUUAAUAGUAAAUAGAAGUGUACUGCUUGCUUAUCACGCUUACUUAGGACUCAUAGGCCUUAUCUAAUCCCUGUCCAAUGCAAACCAUCUAUCUAUGCGAAAUAGGCAAGAGGUAGGCAAAGAUGCUAUAUACCUAAGAGUAUAUGUCAAUCUAAACUAAAGUACUGCUCAUAAGAAAGCAAGCAUGAUAACACGUCGUUGCUUGCUCUAAUAAUAAAUCAGUUGUUGGAAAGGAGGAGGAGGCUAUUUUAUUUAUAAAGUUUAGUUUAGUGAUUUAGUACAAAUAAGGACAUGUCCAAAUAUGACAGGCACAACAACCUCAUACACAUGGGGUUGGUUUGGUUAAAUCAGGAUGAGCAGAAAUGGAACACACCAUAUACAUUUUCCAUGCUUCAACAUAGAUCCGUGAAAAGCAGAGAAUUGUUACACAUCCUCAUAUACUCACUAAAGAAAUAGAGAAUAGAAAUUGCUACUAAAGUAUUUGUAUGCAUCCACAUACACUCAUUAUAAAAACAGAGUAAUGUGUGCAUGUUAUAUAAGUUAGUCGGCCAUCAAUCGUACGAAUCUUUCUUUAGCAUGUUUGAGAAGAAUAACAUGGCAGGACUGACCAAGGCAGUCUUUCACUUGAGUUGCUUAUCCUUGGUCGUUUCCAGAAUCCAAGCACAAAAUUAUGUACGUAUAUGGUGUUUCUCCAUAGAAAGGAUCGCCUCUGGUGCUGGGGGACAUUUGCAUUUAUCUACUGUCUCCAAGAGUUUGUUCCGAAUGUAGAUCAUUCUUGAGAAGCACACAUUAGAAAAAUGUAGGUUCAUAUGCCUAGACAUAAUGAUUCUGAAUGCAAACAGGAAAUAAAAAAGAAAGAGAAAGAACUUACUUGCUAACUGGGUGCAAUAUACUGUUAAGAGAUUGCAUAGCGUUGCAUCCCAUGACUUCAGAACACCGGAAUAUUGCAUCUGCAGUGUGAGGCCACACAUUGAAUGGUGAUAAAAGAGUAAGGUUAUUGUUACUACAUGUAAGAAAAUUGUUUUUUAUAAUUGUCAUAAAUAAGUAAGCCCUGACUUGCAUAAGAUAAAUUAAGCAAAUUAACAGCUGAUAAGCUUUUCCUUUCAGAUAAUGUGGAGUGUCAAGAUACUCUUAUUAAGUAGAUGGGUGUCCCUCGGUAGAAUUUAAGAACUGGCAAACUACUAACUUUAUGUUAAAAUCAUGAAACGACAGAAUAGACUCUGAUAAAUUACUAAUGAUCUUUCAACGAUGAAACAACAAAAUUGAUUUAUAUCUUCUUGUUAAUAAUAGCAUGUCAACUCAUGGUUAUACUCAGACGGGGAGACUCGCAUAUGAAUCAUGAUAUAUGGAAAGAUUUAUUCUACUAUUGUUAACCCUAGACUGAUGUGUAUGCUAUAAAUGUUAGACAUCUGAACUAUCUGAAUAAAAAUAAAUGGACAGGUUAACUUGAAGUCGACUGAAUGUAGGCAACAUAAAAACAACAAAAAGGAUAAACAAAGAUCACACAAAGAAAAGCGAGAACUCUGAUUGUACAGAUAUAGAGGAAGCACAUGUUUGCUACGUGCAAUUUUUAUUGCAUCUAGACCUUCACCCAACGCAAUAGGAUGGAUCCAUAUUGGCGUUGUAAUGAACUUCGGCCUCCUUCACUAAAUUUAGUUUCAGAAUUGAACAAAUUUUCUUCUUUGGCCUCCAAUUUGCUACUCCCUAUUGAGGAUAGCCGCCACAUGUAUGUCACUGCUCCAACAACAUGAGAGCGGGGACUCCGAGCACGCAGAAGCUGGAAAGACCAAGUAAGUCACAGUUAUCAUUCCAAACACUAUUCUACCUAUAUUGUCUAUGGUAAAUAUGCAAAUACCAUAGCUUUCUCAAUGUGAAUACCUUGCAUAACUUUAUCUCGUACACAGUUCAAAUCAGGUGAUUUGUCUGCAAGAGCAGGGAAAUAACCAUUCCCAGAAUAGACAUUAGGCAGUCCUACAAAAGUUAGCAAGCAACAAGAUUAGUUCGUUAAACUAUUACAAAUGGCAAUCAAUAUUCCGCAAUGAAGAUAACCAGUAACCAUAGAGAAUAAAAAUAAAAUCAGUCCAUGAUCAUUUUGUUCAUUGCUAUUCUUUAAAACCAACCACCACCUGAUUUUGUAGGAAUCUGUUGUUUCUGAAGGUAUAUUUUAUCCAUGAAUAAAGAGAUGGUUUAGAAGUGAGUAACCUGGGUCUGCAAUUUCAAUGAUGCUUUCGUUCUCUCUUCAAACAACAAAAUUAAUAACAAACCCAAAGCAAGAGUGGGGAGGCAAGGGAGUUUAGGGAGAAAAAGAUGGUGCAGAAGUUGGUACCUGUGCACGGGUAAUAGCACCAUCCCAAUCAUUGUCCACGUGCGCGCUGCUGGUCACCACCUUCCACCUGAGAACUGGCAGGUCCAGCAGACGUCGACUGUCGUUGAGGUGCAAGCAUGUAAUUAUAUAAUCAUGCAUGUUCAUGGUUGAACGAACUCUUCUUUCAACAAAAAAUUAAAUAGUAAAGUGAAAUGAAAUGCGAAAAGACUAAUAUGUACAACAAUUUCAAAGCCUCCGUGACAAAGAAGAAACAUCACAGUAAAAGUAUCCAUAAUACACACAUGUACCUGUCAAGAUAAAAGAAGCAACACCUUUCAAUAGAAAAAUAGGCAAUAAUAAUCGACUGCGUCUUCAGAAGCUAGCUUUUCAUUCACACCGACCUACAACCAAGAAAAUGAGAAAUUUGAUAAUUUCAUCAAGUUAAUGGUGUGCACAAAUGAAGCUGAAAUUAUAUAUAUGCCAUAAGGUGAUGAAACCUACCUCUGCACCAAUCCAAAUCAUGUCAGGCCGAUGAACAAAAAUGGCAUGCAACAUCACCUAACACACAUCUGAGUUGAAAAGCAAUAUUUCUUUGGUUCUAAAAAAGUGACGAUACCAGCAACAAUGGUUGACGAUGGCUGCAAGCAAAGUAGUAUGCAUCAGCUGGGAGCAAAAACCAACGAGUUGCUACCUUGAUGCUUUAUAUUCUUCUAUGUGUCUUGUUAUCCCCGUCAAGUCACUGAUGCACCCGGUCGAUACAAAAGUUUGCUAUUUUCUUGUGGAGCUUAUAAUUGACAUAGAUCUGAACAAAAAUGGAGGGACCAAAUAAAUUGCAGAGUUGGGAGUUUAGGAACUAACAGUUGUAAAUCCACACCAAUGAACACAAAUACAACCUGAUUCUGUGGCAGACCUUUAACAGGAAAGGUAAAAUUUGUAGCAUAGUUAGGAACUUAAAAUUAUAGGUCACUAAAGUGCAUGCCACUGCAUCAAGAAAAUUCAUCUAACAGACAUCGAGCUUGUGUAGGACUGUCUUAUUAAGCACAUCAUGCUAACAUGCAAACUCGUGAUUGGAAAAAAGAAGUUACUCUAGCGAAAACUGGUGCUAAGCAGUGAAGAGGGCUAAAGGGAGCACCGCUUCUGAACAUUCUAAGAACAAUGAAGAGGCGUGCUCACAUCUAUGAAGCUAAAAAUAGUACACCAAACCGUAUUGAUUGAAUACGGCUAACAACGGAAAAACAAUUAGUAGUGAAGAAUCUGCAUAGAAUAGUACCGGAACGCAUCAAUCUAGGCAUGUAGCUAGCUUCUGCCAUCAGGGUUGCUUGCUAAUUGCAACGAUAUUCAUACCUGAAGAUUCAAUGAGCACUACUAAGCGAUAAAAAAAGAAAACUGAAUCUGUUCACUCGAUGUGUGCAUGGCCUACAAUGUUCUCACAUAUGAGUAAUUCAUCAAAGAAGCCCUCAAAAAAAUCAUCAAACAAAACCGCACAUGAAAGACAGGCUUACCUAAAUGGGGAUGGCCCGUGACCUGGAUCUCCUCGUCCGCGCUUUGCUGGUCUGCUACUACUUGAACAGAAACUCUGCCUGUUGUGCUGACGCUGCCCAAACUGUGCAAGUCUCAUAGUUCCCUGCAAUUGUUAAGAUCAAAAUCAGCAUCUUUUGCAACUAAUGCAGAGUGUGAAUUUCUCUGAAGAUAAAAAAGGCUUUGCAGAUUCAGUAUAGUUGACACAAACAAAAUGCAUUACCUGCUUUCCUCAAGAACCAGUGACUGAAAGUUGUGGAGAGCAAAUUGCAAAAAUAUGAGCAUUAAUACUUCUUAGGUAUCACAGAAAUUCAACGGAACUUUAACAAGACCAUGGCUUGCUUUUCACACUAUGGAACGUUCACGUAUUUCAUAUUUGAUCCACCUUUCAGCUGGGCAAAACAACAAACAGGUGGGGCACAAUAUCUAUUUAUGCUCAGAAAAGAAAUUACCAAAUAUCCGGCCACGAGGACGUGCGUGAGAGGACGGAAGAGACAGUGUGUGUGACAGCGAGAGAGGAUGUACGCGAGGACGCGGGGACUGGUGUCUCGGGUGGAUGGACGGCAGCGCGAAAGCCGGACUGAGCCGGCCAUCUCUGCGACCCACGCUCCUCCUGCCGACGACGGCGACGUGGACCACGGAUGUGGCUCGAGCUCCUCCGGGGUCGCCGCUGCACGCGUAGAGAUGGAGGCGGGGUGGAGCCUCCCGUGCAUCGCGCCCCAGCCCCGGCCUCCUCGCAGCUCCUGAUUUAGGAACGGGUCGAGCCGCCGCCAACCGCCAGGUCGUGCCCGACCUCGCCAGCGCAGGCCGACGCUGGCCAGUGACCCUCUCCUGUCAGCUGCCACACCUCCCUCUCCUCUUUCCUCUCUCUUUCUCCCGCCUCUCCUCUCCUUCCUUCUCUCUCCCUCUCAUCUUCUCUCUCUCUGAUAGGGUUCGUGCGGGAGCAAGGGGUUGGGGAGGUGGGGGCUGGGGAUGACGAGACGCCGCCGCGCACGAAGAGGAGAGGAGGCGGCGCGGAGGGAGAGAGGAAGGAGAGGAGCCAGCCCGGAUAUUUUCUAGGGCUCGGCUCGGUCCACCCACGAUGGAUGCCCUGGCAACCCACGAUCGAUCGCUCCUGCUUUCACCCGGACACAGAGACGCACACACCAUAUCGCUGCUAGGCUGGCCCGCGCACAAGCCUGGCCCAGUCGUCAUCUGCUCCUGGUCCAAUCACGCAGCGUACAGAAUAACAAGCGGUGGGAUGUUUACCAGGUCGACCAUAAUUACUGUUACGGCUGCCAGCGAGGUCAAUCGUGCGUGCAGGAUGAUUUUGAAGCUGCGAUGGCGCUGAAACGGCGGGUAGUGUUGGAGGCUUUAUAUGUUAGAUGCAACGGCAAUGUUCCCUAAAAAUAAAUUAAGCAAAUGUUCANNNNNNNNNNNNNNNNNNNNNNNNNNNNNNNNNNNNNNNNNNNNNNNNNNNNNNNNNNNNNNNNNNNNNNNNNNNNNNNNNNNNNNNNNNNNNNNNNNNNNNNNNNNNNNNNNNNNNNNNNNNNNNNNNNNNNNNNNNNNNNNNNNNNNNNNNNNNNNNNNNNNNNNNNNNNNNNNNNNNNNNNNNNNNNNNNNNNNNNNNNNNNNNNNNNNNNNNNNNNNNNNNNNNNNNNNNNNNNNNNNNNNNNCAAACAGAAAAAUAGGAAGAAAAACUGGGUCUCGUCGCUUGCGCGCGAUGUUACAGCUUGAUGUACAUCAAGAGAAGGAUGAACUAAACGUGAUGUCGCCAGAGGCAGGAUCAAAUGAGGCCUCCACAAGCGCGGCCGAGUCGUCAGCUGGGUUCACUUCCACAGGUUUGCUCAGGAGCUGCACCCCUUGCUUCCAGUAUCGAGUAUCUGAGGUCAGGUCAACACCAACAGCACAGGGCCAUCAGGUACGGGAAUGUGAGAAACAACCAUCAGUUUACUCACGAUUCUUACAGGCAUUGACGUACUCAAGAGUGAGACGAAGACAUGUGCUUACCUGGUCCUGUGCUUAUCACGAUAGAGUUCUUCUCGUCGAGCACCCAGUCGAUCCAAACCGCAAAGCCAUGGCACGUUCCAGCAUCGGAAAACUCAAUCUACACAAGAUCAUCAAAUGGAAUAGCAGACCGGUCAGAAAACUACGUGCAUACCUGGGUAUGAAAUUCAGUCAGAAAACAUGAAUGUUUUAGGCAGCAGAGGGGCGCUUCAUGUUGUGUAUUUUAGUGCGCAACAGGGACUGCAGGAUGAUGGACCAAACAUGGCUUUUACAUAUACUCCCUCUAUAAAGAGUGUUUAGAUCACUAAAGUAGUUAUGUGAACGCUCUUAUAUUUCUUUACGGAGGGAGUAUAAACUAAGAAAAGUUAAGGCAGAACAAAAUCAGUCCCAACAGACACCAGCAAACAACUUUGCGCUAGUAUGAUAUAAGUUAGUGACAUCUCUGGUGUAUUCCCAUCUUAAUAUUCAGUUAGAACUGGUGACAGCAUGGACCUGAUAUAAUUAAGAAUCUCUGAAAUUAAGGCAACUCUACAAGGAAAAACUCUGAUGACGCUCAUGCCGCCAAAAAGACAGCAAGAUAUACCUUUGUUUUCCCAAAGCAGGAGUGAAUAGGCUCCGAAAAGUUGAAGUCCAUGACAGAGUACACUUUGCUUAAUUUCUGGUCAAGUUUGAAUGCAUCGUUAGUCACGUCUAAGAGAUAUGAUAUCUAUGCAUCCAACCUCGAGUCAGUGUUCUACUGUACCUUUGUAUAACCACAUUGCCAUACAUAAUAGGGAAGACAAGGACCCUGCUGCUCUCCAGGAAGAUCGCCGCAGGCUCCUAAAGUCUCGUUAACAACCAAGUGGUCAAAACCCUCGACAUCUUUCAGGCUGCGACGACUCUUCCACAAGUCCUGCAGUACCAUAGUUAUUAGAAGGAAAACAAAAUCUCUGUUCUUUUGCCCAAAAGAAAAUAAAGAGUAAUUCGUGGGAAGACUAACCGGAAGAGACAUGGCGCAUAACUUUAAUACUCCUUUGCAAGGCAUUAUGAGUGCAUCCUCAGAUAGCAUUGAAUCAAACAGAGUUCUUGCAUUCCUAAAGCAAAAAUAACAGGCGCAGAUAUUGGCAUCUUCAAUCGGCAUCAACACAGAACAAUAGACAUCAAAGGCCUUCUCAUUUAAAAUGUGGAUCCGAAAAUAUGAUUAAUACUUGGUGAAUUCAAUGAAAAUUAGAUGAAUAGGUGUGUUUAUCCUACAAGCUACUCAAAACAACCAUAUGACUCUUCCAGCCUAAACUUGGAUCAACAAACCUAAAAUGGUGGCAACAGUUAAAAAAUAAAGCCUAUUUCCCUAGUUAAGAGGAUACAGAAGUUUGUUUCUUCGCUUGUUAGUUAAGGCAUAUGUGAACAGAUGCAUGAAGGUCUACGAGCAAACAUUUGCUUCUCUGUUCAAAUUGAGGGUGCAUUAUUUUCUUUUACAAUACUAUGUUGCCACAGUUGCCCUAUACUAGUACUAGAAGGAACUCUCAAAAUAAAAGUACCAGAUAAAAGGAAACAUUUAAUAGGGUGCCAUAUUUUCAUUAAAAUAUGGGCUUGAGAAUAACGAAAUUAUAGUAUAAAAGUGAAUUUUAACUAUCAAUCAAAACUACAUAAUUUCUGUCAGGUCAGAAGAAUCGAUGAGGAACAUGGAGACAAAGAAUCAGAAGGAAAUAUACGAACAGAAAUAUAACAAGGAG